rnacentral:rRNA from 1 species
AGCGAACAUUGGCGGUAGGCUUAACACAUGCAAGUCGAGCGAGGCGUAAUAGUCGAGCGGCGAACGGGUGAGUAAUACAUGGGAAUCUACCUUGGAGUGGGGGAUAACAGCCAGAAAUGGCUGCUAAUACCGCAUAAUCCCGAGAGGGGAAAGCGCGCUGCGCUCCAAGAUGAGCCCAUGGCUGAUUAGCCAGUUGGUGGGGUAAAGGCCUACCAAGGCGACGAUCAGUAGCUGGUCUGAGAGGAUGAGCAGCCACACUGGAACUGAGACACGUGCAAGCCUCCUAGGGGAGGCAGCAGUGGGGAGUCUUGCGCAAUGGGGGCAACCCUGACGCAGCCAUACCGCGUGUGCGAUGAAGGUCUUCGGAUUGUAAAGCACUUUCAGUAGGGACGACGAUGACGGUACCUACAGAAGAAGUCACGGCUAACUUCGUGCCAGCCGCCGCAGUAA